AUUGAACGCUGGCGGCAUGCUUUACACAUGCAAGUCGAACGGCAACAGGCCGCAAGGUGCUGACGAGUGGCGAACGGGUGAGUAAUGCAUCGGAACGUGCCCAGUCGUGGGGGAUAACGCAGCGAAAGCUGCGCUAAUACCGCAUACGAUCUCUGGAUGAAAGCGGGGGACCGAAAGGCCCCGCGCGAUUGGAGCGGCCGAUGUCAGAUUAGGUAGGUGGUGGGGAAAAGGCCCACCAAGCCAACGAUCUGUAGCUGGUCUGAGAGGACGACCAGCCACACUGGGACUGAGACACGGCCCAGACCCCUACGGGAGGCAGCAGUGGGGAAUUUUGGACAAUGGGCGCAAGCCUGAUCCAGCAAUGCCGCGUGCAGGAAGAAGGCCUUCGGGUUGUAAACUGCUUUUGUACGGAACGAAACGGUCCGGGUUAAUACCCUGGGCUAAUGACGGUACCGUAAGAAUAAGCACCGGCUAACUACGUGCCAGCAGCCGCCGUAA
rnacentral:rRNA from 1 species